AGUGAACGCUGGCGGUAGGCCUAACACAUGCAAGUCGAACGGCAGCACAGUAAGAGCUCGCUCUUACGGGUGGCGAGUGGCGGACGGGUGAGGAAUACAUCGGAAUCUACUUUUUCGUGGGGGAUAACGUAGGGAAACUUACGCUAAUACCGCAUACGACCUACGGGUGAAAGCAGGGGAUCUUCGGACCUUGCGCGAUUGAAUGAGCCGAUGUCGGAUUAGCUAGUUGGCGGGGUAAAGGCCCACCAAGGCGACGAUCCGUAGCUGGUCUGAGAGGAUGAUCAGCCACACUGGAACUGAGACACGGUCCAGACUCCUACGGGAGGCAGCAGUGGGGAAUAUUGGACAAUGGGCGCAAGCCUGAUCCAGCCAUACCGCGUGGGUGAAGAAGGCCUUCGGGUUGUAAAGCCCUUUUGUUGGGGAAGAAAAGCAGCAGGUUAAUACCCCGCUGUUCUGACGGUACCCAAAGAAUAAGCACCGGCUAACUUCGUG
rnacentral:rRNA from 1 species